ensembl:lncRNA
AUGAUCAGGUUUUCUGUUCUAGUCUGCCUGUCAGUGCUGCUGUUCAGCACUUCAGCCAAGCCAUACAGGCCCAGGGACAAAGUGUUGGGCAAAGCAGUUCAGGACACUAUAGAUUUUGAUCACCCCAGUGGGAAGAUGAUCCUGGGAAUGAAGGAGGUGGAGCCACCACAGGACAUGGACAUUACAGAUUCUGACAUCGAUCCCAACAUGUUGAUCUGGAAAGCCGUAAAAGGAGAAAUACAGCAGAAAUAUGACAGACCUGAAGAGGAUAAAGAUGAUCUAUACCAUGGCAUGUUUGAUGUAGCUGAAGAGCCAAUGAGAGAAGAGAAGGAUGUAAUUGGAGGUAAUGUCAGGCCCAUCUACUCAAGCCCUGAAGAGGACAAAGACGACCUGUACCACGCAGAUGUUAAAGGACAUCAGUCUGACCAGCAGGCUCUGCCGAUGAAUAUAUUCCCCAUUCGCCCAAAAAGGGUGCACACAGAGCCAGAAGUAGACCUGGAUGGCCUUUAUCAUAAGCAAUGA